rnacentral:lncRNA from 1 species
ACAGAAAAGGAAGUUGUAGACACUUUCUUUCAAUUCGAAAGGGCUGACUUCCCGUAUUCCUUAACUGUAAAAUACUAUGUGAGAGCUUACUCAGACUAUUUCUUAACUGUAAAAUAUUGAUUUUAUCUCGGACAAUACCUUAGGCCGGAUUAUUCUAUCGACUACCUUAUUCACUCGAACUAUUCCUGAUUGGAAGAGUUUUGAGUAGCAAUUCCUUAUUCAAAUUAUCGUCUUAUAAGGAAGAGCAAUUCCAUCCCAGGGAAGGAAAAGUCGAAUUCCAUCUUUCUUUUUCCAGAGAGGACAAUUCCUUUUUACAGUAAUUCAUGUAAUUCCACCAAUUCCUUAUAAGAUGGUGCAUCUUAGGAAAAGGUAUUCCUUAUCUUAGGAAAAGGGGUAACACUCUUCUUCGGAAAGAGGACAAGACCUUAUUCCUUAACUUACCUGUGACAUUUUGAGGAGGAGAUCCGUAAGGUUACGGUUGCUAUUCUUAGUCUUGAAUUUCUACAAACUCAAAAAUUCUUUAUAUAAAAGGAAGAGGAAAAGGUAUAAAAGACAAUUCCGACAAUUCCUAGCAAAUUCCUUAGGUUAGACCAAUUCCUUAAUUGAAAGAGUGACAAUUCAAAACUAUAAUUCCAGAGUUGACUAUUUCAAAGUAAAUAAAAACUAUUCCAUCUUUCGUGCCAGUUGAGUGACAGUAUUCCUUACUAAAAUGGAAAGAGGACAAUUCCCACCUGUGACAAUUCCGCCACCAUUAUUUGGAAAUGGAAAGAGGAAAAGCCUUAUCUUUAAUGGAAAGAGGUAAUUCCUUAUUGUAUUCCUUAUGCCAAUUCCUUCUUCGGGACUAUUCCAUAAGAGUUACAAUUCCUUAUUCCUAGCAAAUUCUCAUGGAGCUUUUAGCGGAGAAAGGAUUUCCCUAUCGGAGAAUGAAAAGUUGUAAUUCCGUCCUUAACCUUACAGGAAAGGGGUGACUUCAUUUACCUUAUUCAAAUUCUCAUAGAGUUUUUAGUAAUUCCUUCUCCGGAGAGAAAGAUAGCUUCCGAGAACCUCCCUUGCUCUUAGCCCAGUACUGGAGGUCGAGUGGAACUAGUUUUUCGGAAGCAAAGGUGCCCGCCCGCCACACUCCCCUUUCUCCUGUUCCAUUGCAAAAUCAGGGCCUCGCCUUACGUCUUCAGAUAGGGCAAUGAUAGAAUUUCUUCUACCGUGCAACAAGACUACAAAUGCAAAUUUCAAACUCGCCUUUGUUUGCUCUCUUCAUCGUCAGAGUGCCCCGCCCCGGGGCGUUGGGCACGAUGUGACCCAACUUCCACAUAAUGGAUGCCGACUCCCCAAAN